CCGGGUUGGCCAUUUCCCGUCAUGCUCCACGGCAAUGACAUCAUAUCUCCUCCCCAGGUCUGAUGCUCUGUCGCCACUUUUCGCCUGGGGUGCAACGCAACAGUAUCUCCAGGCCUUCAGUCUGUUCAAGAAAUAGGGAAGUACGUUUCCUUUGGGCAGUAGAGAAUGAGGGUGAUGAUGCUCAACGAAUGUAAGUUUGUUUAUUCGACAACACCGUACCUGCAAUUCUGCUUGAAACCACUUUCAGCUUGUCCAAACAAGUUAAUUGCAGUAAAUAGUUAUUGCAUCAAAAAACUCUAAUUUCUGGAAAAAUUUCUGGUGAUUAACAUCAUACAUUUCAGAUUGAUAUCUUUCAUAUCGCGUCACCUAUCUUGAACACUGCACCAUAGUUAUAAUUUCAUUCAUCUACAGGCCUUGUUAAAUUGGUUUUUAUUAGACGUGUUGUUCGGCUCUGUCCUCCACGAAGUCCUGCUAGAUACCCCCGUGGUCUUGGGACGCUGCUCUCCCCGUCCUUCUUAGUCUGACACGCAGCUUCUUUAGGCGUGUAAGUUUGCGUGGCGUUGUCCCGCCUCAUAUGGCUCAGAUUCGUCUGCAUUGAACAGGUCACUUUCGUGCGCAGAUUCGCCUGGGGCGAAACACCGGCAGCUCCUGAACAACUUCUUAAUCAAUUUAUAACAUUAAUACAAUAAAAUAAGUAUCUUAAACAUGUACCAACAAUUCAUUUGUGUCCCUGAUACUGCACAAGUGAUGUUUUUCUUUUUAACCAAAGCAACUUGCAUUUUUAAAAACAUUUUUACAUGUAUGUGUUUAACUUGGACAAUCCAGGCCCUUGCACAAGUUCCUCGAGCAAUAACAUUCAGGAUACAGGACAAAGUCAUUUCCAAUAGGCAAACCUUAUCAAGCAUCCAUCAUGUAACUCUCUUUAUGAACUGCUUGGACGGUGGACAACCUGGUUUGCAGUUGUGUUCUGUAAACACUGCAGCAGCCCACACCAGCUCUAUGGGCAACUUUUAAGCAAUGUUGCAGGGCAAUGUCGCUGGGCAAUGUGUUGCUUGCGCACUUUCGGUUUUGAAAAACUUUGAUUCACAAUGGGCUACUUUUCAUGAUCAUCUGGAUCCAGAGGAGUGGCCCUUUGUCUCACCUGGCUGGUAGUUGUCCAGCAACAUUGCUGGAAAAGUUGUCCUGUGUAUCAUCAGCUUCAUACGGUAAAUCAGACACAUACCAGUUUGACUGCUUGUCUCCUGAGUUCCCAUUCAUUCCAUUUGUAGGACUUCACAAUGUUGCUCUCUACUGGGUGGGUGUCUGUCUGUGUAUCGCCGUCACACUUUGCGACAGGCUGUGUCAGGUGCUUCUUCCCCAUCUGCAGAUGCGGCAAAAGGGACCGGAAACAGACUGCAGGUGGGUUGGGUGACAGAUAGAAACAUCACUGACCCUAAAGGAACUUUUUGUUGCAACAGGUUUGUUGCAGAGCACGUCUCACCUCUGGAUAUGGAGUAACAGGAGAGAACUGCAGGUGGAGUUCUAGCAGCUGAAUUAGCUCCGGAGAGGAUUUUGCUUCCUCGGCUACCGACUCGAUGCUCUCGUCUGGGUUGGAGGCAAACUCACAGGCUGCCUUCUUAGAGCUGAAGAUGUGAUAUUUAUUCCUGUGUUUCAGGAUGCCGACCGCUGGGUUACCUUGUCAUAAUUGAAACGCGAGUGAAACUGGUGAAACUGUACGUUUGGGUUUUUUAAAUCCAUGGCCAAAAAAUAAACUCUAUAAUAUUCUACCCAGAGAUGUACAUUUUUGUUUCAUGCCAGUUCCCUGUGUAGAGUUCCCGAUUGCUUGGGUCAGGUGUUCUGGGAACUGGGAUAAAACUAAAAUGUCGUUCUGUCCAGUGAGCCCUGAGGACUGGUUUGGGAGACACUGCUCUGGGAAUUGUAGAUACCUGGCAAAAGAAGACCAUGUUUUAUAAGUGCAUUCGCACACAUUCCCUUGUGUUGAAAAGGAAGUGUAUCCAUAUUAACUGUAGUCUCUGGGAAGAGCCACUCUUGAUUUUUGAACACGGAUGGGUCAAUGCGAUUGUCUGCACCAAAGACAGAACACUGUUAGUAAAUGACCACCAUUGGAACUAUAUCAUAAUCAUUUCAAAUAAAAAAUUCUAAUAGUUGAAUGAAGAAGUAUGCAAAAAAAUGCUAUGCAAAAAUUCAUCGCAUGUGCUCCAUGAUUUGUGUGUGGCAGCAGGAACGAGGAUGCCAGUCCACCCCAGGGCACACAUAGGCACACCGGGGGCAAAUGAUUAGUCCAACAGCAUGGAGAAUGUGCAGAGUCCACACCCAGAAGGGGCACGGAGUCUGUCGAAUUACAAAUGUUACUGAACUCCCCGCUGCAUUGUCCCUCCCCAGGAUCACAUGUGUCUAUAUACUGUCAAGGUGGAAAUAAAUCAGACAAACUUCCUUAGACAA